UAGAUUGAAGCCAGAAAUAGGGUAUUUAGCUGUUAACUAAAAUUUUGUAGGUUUAAGUCCUGCCAAUCUAG
rnacentral:tRNA from 1 species